rnacentral:lncRNA from 1 species
AAAUAUAUCAAUUUUUACUUAUUCACAUUGGGUCUCUAACAACAUGGAUUGAUUUACAUCACGUUACUAAAAAAUUACUACUUUUAUAAUUAAAAUAAUGACUUGGACGUUAUCAAAAUCUUUUAGGAUACAUCAUACAUGACAUGCACAUAGAUAAAAUAAAGAGUUCCGCGGGCUAAGCUCCAUUUACUUCAUUAGGGUUUGGAUGUAAGACAUGUGGCAAAAAAAAUCUAACGGUUGAGAUUUUAAAUUAAAAAACAAAUAUUUGUUUAAUAAAAAUACAUAAUAAUAACAAACAAAUCAUGUUCUCUUCUUCUCUCAUAUCGCAACAACCUUUUAUUGUUUUUUAAUUUAAAAUCUCAACCGUUACAUAUUUUUUUGCCGCAUAUCUUACAUCCAAACCCUAAAUGAGUAUAUGAAGCUUAGCCUAAAUAGAGCAUACCGAACUCCAAAAUUAAG